AGUGAACGCUGGCGGUAGGCCUAACACAUGCAAGUCGAACGGCAGCACAGUAAGAGCUUGCUCUUACGGGUGGCGAGUGGCGGACGGGUGAGGAAUACAUCGGAAUCUACUUUUUCGUGGGGGAUAACGUAGGGAAACUUACGCUAAUACCGCAUACGACCUACGGUUGAAAGCAGGGGAUCUUCGGACCUUGCGCGAUUGAAUGCGCCGAUGUCGGAUUAGCUAGUUGGCGGGGUAAAGGCCCACCCAGGCGACGAUCCGUAGCUGGUCUGAGAGGAUGAUCAGCGACACGGGAACUGAGACACGGUCCAGACUCCUACGGGAGGCAGCAGUGGGGAAUAUUGGACAAUGGGCGCAAGCCUGAUCCAGCCAGACCGCGUGGGUGAAGAAGGCCUUCGGGUUGUAAAGCCCUUUUGUGGGGAAAGAAAAGCAGCAGGUUAAUACCCCGCUGUUCUGACGGUACCCAAAGAAUAAGCACCGGCUAACUUCGUG
rnacentral:rRNA from 1 species